GACGAACGCUGGCGGCGUGCUUAACACAUGCAAGUCGAACGAAGUGGCGGACGGGUGAGUAACGCGUAAUCAACCUGCCCUUCAGAGGGGAACAACAGUUGGAAACGACUGCUAAUACCGCAUACUGAAGGAGGGGUUUGCGGGGGAUUAGCUAAUGGGAGGGGUAACGGCCCACCAAGGCGAGGGUCAGGAGCCGGUCUGGGAGGAUGAACGGCCAAAUUGGGACUGAGACACGGCCCAGACUCCUACGGGAGGCAGCAGUGGGGAAUCUUCCGCAAUGGACGAAAGUCUGACGGAGCAACGCCGCGUGAGUGAUGACGGCCUUCGGGUUGUAAAGCUCUGUUAAUCGGGACGCGGUACCGGAAUAGAAAGCCACAGCUAACUACGUGCCAGCAGCCGCGGUAAUUC
rnacentral:rRNA from 1 species